UUCUGGCUGCACACACAGAAGGGGGCCCUACAUCACAAUGCUGCUGACCAGAGAUCUGACCUUAUCCGUGGAUCCAGCUUCUCCUCAGUCAAGUGAUAAAAAUGGCAUCAGAUCUGUAAAGAGAAGUAUUUUAAUUGGCAUUGCUGUCUGGAAAUGACAUUUUGAAAAGGAAUGCCAGAAAAAUCUGAAUUUUGGCUGAGUACAAGUUCCAUAAAACCUUUACAUUUUUUCUUUAUUAACUAUAGAAAGAGAGGGACAUGUCUGCCUUCAAAGUCUGCCAGCCUGGGAACCAAGGAGGGAUCCCACUGUCACAGAAAGGAGAGAAAAUCUGGCUAGCAAAAAAUUGCAAUUAAGAUUGAGCUUCCCUAAGGCAAGACAGCCUUUUGUCAUCAAAGAAAACACAGACAGCACCAUGUAACUGACCUAAGAGUGCUGGCUCAUUAAAAACCUGCAUAUUUAUGAUAUUUGUGAUGGAAUGAUUAUGGCAGAAGUGUAAGGAAUAUAGCAUAUUUCUAUCUGUGUUAAGAACUAUAUUAUUUCUACAGCAGCCAUGCAUGCAGAAAUGCAGUCUGGGACAGCACUGCCAGGAUCCAGCCUUCAAGAAAGAAAAACAAAAGGGCUGUGCACACAACCCUCAGUGAGCCCUGAAUUCAGGAUGAACUUGACCAUAUGACUGUGAAUAUUAAACUAAAAGAAAUAAAUCGGAGUGUAAGAGCAAAACAAGGAGAUGGAAGAUGGAAGAUGAAGCUGUGGAUGAGUGGAUGAAGUUCCCAGAGCAGCUGUGGCUGCUCCUGGAUCCCCAGAAGUGUCUCCAAAGCCAGAUUGGAUAUAGGGGUUUGGAGCAGCCUGGGACAGCUGGUGGAAGGUGUCCCUGCCCAUGGCACUGGAUGGGAUUUAAGGUUCCUCCCAACCCAAAGCAGUCUGGGAUUCUGUGGAAGGGAAGAAACAUCAGGCUAGAGACACAUGAUCUGCAUGGGGAAUGUGACAGAACCUGUCCCUUUGAUGCUCAGAAAUCCAGGGAAAAGUCGGAUUCUUUGGGGUUUUUUUUCAUAUAAGCAGAUCACACUCCUCACACGUACUGAACUUUAGAGUUCCCAUCAGGACAAAGGGAGAGGGUACAAUUCUUGAAGGAGAAGGAGGGACGAGAUCCUCUUGUGCCCCAUCACAGUCCUACCCAAUUGAAAUUCCUGAAAAAAGCAAUUUUCCUUUUUGUCAUCACUCAGCCUUACCUUCACUGGGAGUUAGCAAACAAACCCCUUCUGACUCCAGCUGUACAACUCCAACAGUAAAAGCUCCCAUGAAGAGACCAAAACCCCCAAAAUGUGAAAGUUCAGCUUCCUUCUGUUUUACACGAAGCAGCCUCAAAAUGGCACCACAAGGGGCCCAAUUUCCUUCCCUUUCCUGGUGUUUGGAGUGGCUGGGACAGCUCUGCCUGCAGUGCAGCGACCCCUGAGUCACCCAAUGUCACCCACGUGGGGACAGCACCAGAGCAGGGUGCAGCUGAUGGAACAUGACAAGCAUAAAAAAUUAAAUGAAAGAAAACAUUCCCUUUGAUUUGAUUCGACACAGAGUUGGUUGUCUGAAUUUCUGGCUAACUGGAGGGUGGAAAUGUUGGUGUUUAUUCACAUUUCCUGUCUGCAGAGCCUCCACACCAAGCUGUGCAUUUCAAAGGACAUCAGCACUCAGAGGAUCCAAGUCCUGCCAGAAGAAAAGGACAAACAAUCAGGAGUUCCCUCCCUAAGUUUGGAUUUAUUGCAUUAUAAAAUAACUCCACAUUUUGGAGGAAAGGGGCCCUAAUGCAGCUUGAGCUGCUCCAGGGAGACAUUGAUAAAGUGCAAAGCACCUUAAUCAGUGCAACAUUAUGCUAAUUUUUAUUAGUCAACACACAUAUCCUGUGUGUGCAGCUCGGGACUGAUGAGGAAAAUAAAAGAUUUGUUGAAAGCUCCUGCAAGAGCAGGUCACAUUUUAAUAUUUUAAUGGGCAUCUGCUGCUUAAUGUUUCCUCCUAUGCUUCUCUUUGUAAACUUUAUGCUGACCUUCGAAACUGAAGAUGGAUCAAUACCAUUUUAUAAGACUAUAAAACUGUAUGAAACACUAAGUCAAUACUGUAUUUUUAUCACACUUGUGAUAUAAUGCAGUCCAGCACAUCAAAUAACCCUGAGAGUACCAGAGAAGGCUCGAAAUUUUGUUUAAAGAGAUUAAUUCAGCCAAGUGCUGGCCAACACCAAAUUUGCUGAAUGCCAAAAAUUUUAAUCAGCCCAAAGACAACUUAUUGUCCAAAAAAGUCUCCAAAAUGUGAGCUCAAAGGAUCAAGCUGAUGCAAACUUAAAUUUUCCAAAUUCAACUUAAUGUGGAACACUUUGUAUGCAUGCUUUAGUGCUUCUUGGUGAUCUAACUCAAUUUUCAUAUGAACAAAAAGCACCUUAAUUCCUGACACCUUAGUUUGUACAGAGAUUUACCAUAAAUAGUGUUUUCUUUGCUUUUGCAUCACUGUUUUUAAUUCACAGAAGCUCACUCUGUUUUUAUAAAACAUAAAUGAACGUUAAUAAACAAACAUCACUUGAAAAAAACCAUAAUAGCAAAGCAGAAGAGAAAGGGAAGAGGAACACAAGAUUAUUUGCCUUAUCUUGCAGGAAAAGUAAAGAGGAAUAAGUGGCUGUAAUUAGAAUUUGUAAUUAUUUCUGAAAAGCUCUUGCAUUCCAGGUGCAAGCAUGAAUAAAGCCCUUUGGAUCAGAACACCUCCAUGGCCUCUCCAUCAGCAGCAAAGCAAUUAGGGCAGCUCCUCUCACCUCCCACAACAGCAGAUCCCUCCAUCUUUAUGGUAGAGCCAGGUUUCCUUGGGCCCAGGAUCAAAUUUGACUCCUGAAUCCUUUCCAACAUUGGUUUUAUCACAGCCUGAUACAGAGCAGGGGAGCCUGCCUGACACAUCUUUAAUCAGAACCGUUUUCCUCUGUGGCCAAGGCAUUCAUCCUCCCAGCUGAGAGCUGCUCCCCAUCCUUUUUGCAAUUAACACCCAUCCAGCCCUGUGAGUUGGAGGGAUAAUGCUCAGCUUCAAGGACAAAACUAUUUUAUUGCCCUCGGCAGGAGGAAUCUGUACACAUGAAAUGUAUCCCUUGUAAGAGAAACCCUCACACACCCCAUCUCUAAAGAGAAAAGUAUUUCUUCUGUUCAAAUAAAGCUGCAAAGGCAAUCUCCAAACAAACAUUCAGCCGGAUCAAUAGCCAGAAAUUGAAUAGAACAAUGUCUCAUGCAGCUUUAUAGAAUUUUCAAAAGAUUUGAACCACACAAACCCAACUUUUCAAGUUCCACCACUGGGAUUUAUAGUCUUGUUUUCUGAGUCUAGGAAGAACCUAACAAAGAACUGAUCCCCAUACUAAAACUGAAAAAAAAGGAAAAAAAAAAAGAAAAAAGGAGUUCUAUGUGGUCAAGAAAUACCAGGGGCCUAAACUUAAGCUUGGAAAGGUAAAGGCAUUCCAAGUUAGGCUCAGGUGGUUUGUUUACCUUGGAGAACUUCAGGGCUUAAAAGAUAUUUUAUACAGUUUUUAGUGCCCAAGUGCAACAAAUAUAAUUCUCCUUUACGAAGAUCUGAUAACUUACCUCUAAAAAUGAAAAUUAACAGGAAUGUAUCCAUGAAAACAGCCUUUCCUUGAAUUUCAGGAGGAUUGUGUUAAUUAUUUAAUGACUUUUUUUCCUUGAAUAACAAUAUAUAAUAACCAUUCUCUAUAUACAUGGUAUAAAUAACUUAAUUUUAUGCAGCACAAAACCAGAAAAUAGGUAUUCUCUAUAUUAACUACUGGCCUACAAGAUGUCUUAAACAUUACAUUUAUGGAGAAAGGCAAAUUUGCUCCAUUACAUGGAAAGAAACAUCAUGAAGACAAAGACAUCAAAUUUAAUUUAUACCAAAGAAUCCAAUCCAAACCAAACGAAGAAAAGACAGGAACACCUCAUUUAAGUGUUUGUUCUCCUUUGUGGAAAAUAACUUCAGGCCUGAAAUUUAUCUUCAUUUAUUUUGCCUGGGAAUUCUACAGCCAUGUGAUCCAGCAGAGCUACCCAGCUCCUGAGGUAAGGGGACAACAGAAGUUGAAGGAGCAAUUUCCCACCUGCCCAGGAGCCCAGAGCCCUUCCAGGUGUGAUUCAGGUCUGCUGUCACCUGUCUGGUUAUGCAGAGCAUCCUGCUGCUUUCCAGAGCAAACCCAGAUGCUCCAGAGACUGCACAAUUCCCACAACGUAUCACAAAUGAGGAAAACAGAUUUUCAGAAGAGGAGGAAGGAACAUGAGGCUCCCAGAUUUGGUCCCACCACGUCCAGCAUUGUGUACCUGUCUAGAAUUGUGCUCUAUAUUAUUUUUUUUCAUUUUCCUAAGUCACACCAAACAUUUUGCCUCCAAAGAACAGCAAUCCUGCAGGCUGCUGGAUCCACAGUCAGUACAACAGCAGUUUUCCUCUGAAAGACAAAAUAAUGAAGUUUGUCUUGCUGUGGCUUGGAGAUUUAUUUCUCACCAGGAAAGAUGCAGCUGAAACAUUUACUGCUAAAGUACUUCCUUGGUUGAAGAAAUAAGUAGGAAAAGACAUACUGUUAUGAAGAAUAAAUAGAAGUGACAGGCUGGGAUUAUUACAUUUAAUUACUUUAAAUGACAAUGCCUUUUUCCACCCCGCCCCUUUCCCAUAUAGUUUUUUUUCUCUUUUUUUUUUCCCUGUUCCUUAAAUCUAAAUGCAAAGAAUGGGAAUUAAUUUUGUUUCCAGUAACAAAAUAAGUUUGUUUUUUGUUUGGCUUCUUUUUCUCACACAGUUUAAUUUACACUACAUUUGUAAUCAUUGCAAAGAAGCUCAGAAACACAUAAUUUCUUGGCUUUAAAUAUCUCGGGGGAAACUCUACUUUUUUUAGAAGAUGUGAACAAAUAAGUUAUCAGAAAACAUGUCAAACUUGAAAGUCUCAGGCACCAACUGUGGAAAUAAGUACAACCUACUCUUGUCUCUUAUAAUUAGGUCUAUUGAUUUAUGUGUUUUGUUUUACUUGCAUUUCAUACAAGUAUAAACAGAUGAGAAAGUAGCAAAGGGAAAUAAAAAGAAAGCAAAUAAAGUGAUUUAACAGAAAGGAAAUACCUAGAAGAAUGAAAUUCAUUAUUGUGGUGUAACGUCAUCUAAUCUAGUCUUAUUUACUUCUAGCUUGUUUUACCUGAGCUGUUACUCUGAAAAUUUCCAAGACCAUGAGCAGGGAUACCUCCCACUGUCCCAGGGUGUUCCAAGCCCUGUCCAACCUGUCCUUGGGCACUGCCAGGGAUCCAGGGGCAGCCCCAGCUGCUCUGGGCACCCUGUGCCAGGGCCUGCCCACCUUCACAGGGAGGAAUUUCUUGUUAAUAUUUGAUUUUUCCCUGGAGCCUUCUCUUCUCCAGGCUGAACACCCACAGCUCUCCCAGCCUGGCUCCGUGGAAGAUGAACUCCAGCCCUUGGGGGAUCCUUGUGCUCCUGCUCUCCAACACAAAAAGGAUAUUCCACAUCCUUUUAACGUUGGAGAUAUGGACUUCCUCCAGCAGCUCCACAUCCUUUCUGUGCUGGAUGUCUGGACCUGCUCCAGCUGCUCCAAAUCCAUUUUAUUUUGGAGCCCUGGGCCUGCUCCAGCAGCUCCACAU